UAUGUAGGGGGCAAGCGUUGUCCGGAUUUAUUGGGCGUAAAGAGCGUGUAGGCGGCCAGAUAGGUCUGUUGUGAAAACUCGAGGCUCAACCUCGAGACGCCGAUGGAAACCAUUUGGCUAGAGUCCGGAAGAGGAGAGUGGAAUUCCUGGUGUAGCGGUGAAAUGCGCAGAUAUCAGGAAGAACACCCGUGGCUAAGGCGGCUCUCUAGUACGGUACUGACGCUGAGACGCGAAAGCGUGGGGAGCGAACAGG
rnacentral:rRNA from 1 species